rnacentral:rRNA from 1 species
AGAGUUUGAUCCUGGCUCAGGAUGAACGCCGGCGGCGUGCUUAACACAUGCAAGUCGAACGAUGAAGCCCAGCUUGCUGGGUGGAUUAGUGGCGAACGGGUGAGUAACACGUGAGUAACCUGCCCUUAACUCUGGGAUAAGCCUGGGAAACUGGGUCUAAUACCGGAUAGGAGCGUCCACCGCAUGGUGGGUGUUGGAAAGAUUUAUCGGUUUUGGAUGGACUCGCGGCCUAUCAGCUUGUUGGUGAGGUAAUGGCUCACCAAGGCGACGACGGGUAGCCGGCCUGAGAGGGUGACCGGCCACACUGGGACUGAGACACGGCCCAGACUCCUACGGGAGGCAGCAGUGGGGAAUAUUGCACAAUGGGCGCAAGCCUGAUGCAGCGACGCCGCGUGAGGGAUGACGGCCUUCGGGUUGUAAACCUCUUUCAGUAGGGAAGAAGCGAAAGUGACGGUACCUGCAGAAGAAGCACCGGCUAACUACGUGCCAGCAGCCGCGGUAAU